rnacentral:rRNA from 1 species
GAGCUUGCUCUUAUGAAGUUAGCGGCGGACGGGUGAGUAACACGUGGGUAACCUGCCCAUAAGACUGGGAUAACUCCGGGAAACCGGGGCUAAUACCGGAUAACAUUUUGAACCGCAUGGUUCGAAAUUGAAAGGCGGCUUCGGCUGUCACUUAUGGAUGGACCCGCGUCGCAUUAGCUAGUUGGUGAGGUAACGGCUCACCAAGGCAACGAUGCGUAGCCGACCUGAGAGGGUGAUCGGCCACACUGGGACUGAGACACGGCCCAGACUCCUACGGGAGGCAGCAGUAGGGAAUCUUCCGCAAUGGACGAAAGUCUGACGGAGCAACGCCGCGUGAGUGAUGAAGGCUUUCGGGUCGUAAAACUCUGUUGUUAGGGAAGAACAAGUGCUAGUUGAAUAAGCUGGCACCUUGACGGUACCUAACCAGAAAGCCACGGCUAACUACGUGCCAGCA